UACGAAGGGGGCUAGCGUUGCUCGGAAUCACUGGGCGUAAAGGGUGCGUAGGCGGGUUUUUAAGUCAGGGGUGAAAUCCUGGAGCUCAACUCCAGAACUGCCUUUGAUACUGGCGAUCUCGAGUCCGGGAGAGGUGAGUGGAACUGCGAGUGUAGAGGUGAAAUUCGUAGAUAUUCGCAAGAACACCAGUUGCGAAGGCGGCUCACUGGCCCGGAACUGACGCUGAGGUGCGAAAGCGUGGGGAGCAAACAGG
rnacentral:rRNA from 1 species